GCAGAGUGAAAUUCUUUCUUCGCAAACUUUGGAGGUUGGGGUCAGAGCACAGGGGCAGCCAUGAUACAGCCCCCCUGGAGCAGAGAGGGUUAAGGGCCUUGCUCAAGGGCCCAACAGUGGUAGCAUGGUCACUUGUGGACUUAUAAUAUGAAGGCUUGUCCGAUGAAAAGAAAAAAAAAGGAGGCAAAUAUAACUGGAAGCACCCUUAUAACAGAUAUGUAUAAAUCAAUAGACGCUAUCUAGGCAGAUAACCAGCAGAAUAGAAAAUGGGUGUGGCUUCUUAUAGAUCUAUUUCUACUAACAUAUCUACAAUACUAACAUAAUGUGUGGGAAACUUCACUUGAUAUUAAGUAUUUGCUUAUAAACCUGUUGUAUACUUUUGUAUACUUUAGUCAAAUGAGCAAAUGGUAAAAUGUCCAUCUUUAAUCAAUACAAAUUGUAACCCUUGCUGAAUUGGAUGUGAUGUUAUAGGUAAUUAAUCAUUGUUCUUCCUCUUCUGGCUUAGUAAUUAACAGGUUUGCCUUGCACCUUGAUUCCUGAGUUUGCAUGUUUCCCUUGUGCUUCAGGGGUUUCCACUGGGUACUCCAGUUUCCUUUACCAACGUCAUCUGCAUUAGAGCAACAGACCAGUAGAUCAGCUCCCUUGAACUGCAUUCAUUCCUAUUCCCAGGUAUCUUCCAGUGCAGUUAAGUAGAGACUGGCUAGCAUGCAGGUACUCUUCAAAACUGUGACUCUGGCUUUUAACCAUCCGCACUGGGAGCUAUUAGCCUCGCUAAUCCUUAGCCAGCCGUCAGUCGAGCCGUGACUCUCUGCAGGUGGACGCAGCUGGGGAAGCCGUGAAGGUGGUGAGAUCAAGCUGCUGUUAGACCUUGGGUUCAGCGAUGGAUUUGCUACAGGAGCCGUUUUAUAGGGAUUUCUCCUAGUCAGGAUUAGCAAACAUCAUGAUAGUGCAAGGUUUUGAUCCUGAUCUUUGGCUAGUGUAUGCAAUCCUGGUUUCCUCACAUCUCAGAGACACUCAGCUCUACCAUCCUUUGAAACCCAACCCCAUCCUUGCUCACUAACUGUGUCUCAAUACGUGCAUUGAUGCUGUUAAAUCCUGGACGGCUAUCAAUUUUCUUCAAUUAAACGAGAAUAAAUAAGAUCUUAUUCUCUUUGGUCUAUCCAAAUCUACUACUACUCUAUUAAAUUGUUUGGAGUAGGCUACUGGCACGGGGAUGUUGGACCACGGGUGAAGAAUCUUGGUGUUUUAUUCGAUUCGAUUGUGAUCUUAUAUUUGAUCAGCAAAUCAACUCUGUGGUAAGUUUACUUUUGAUCAACUUACAGUGAUUUCUAAAAUCAAGUUAUUUCUCUCUUUGCAGGACUUUGAAAAACUUAUUCAUGCUUUUAUUUCAUCUUAAAUAGAGACCACAUCAACUUAGUUUUCUGGCAUUCUUGCACUGGCUCCCUGUCCAAUAAAGGAUCCAGUUUAUAGUUUUUUCUGUUUGUUUUUAAAGCUUUUAUUGGUCUAGCUCCCACCUACCUCUGUGAGUCAUUAUUCUGCUCCCAGGAUUCUAUUUGAGAUCUUCAGUCAAGUUGCGAUUGGCUGUUUCACAGUCUUGGCUGAAGGCUAUGUGCUUCUUAUAUCAUUAUUAGUAAUUGAAGGCUAAAAUCAAAUCUUACAAAUUAGCAUUUUAAUCUGUUUGGUUGUGUCAUGUAUCAGUGCUUUUCAUGUUUUGUGUUUAUGUUUGUUUGUUUGCUUGCUUUUCUUACCCUUUUUUAUUUUUUAAAUUACUUUCUUAAUUAUGGAUAUGUCCCUGUUGUUCUCCAAUGCUCUCUCCACUGUGGCCAGGAGUCCCUAGGCAGAGAACCAACCUUGCCACUGAGGGGUUAACUCUCAUUGCUGGUCCCAAGCCUAGAUAAAAUAGGAGAGUUAAGUCCGGAAGGGUAUCCGGCGUAAAAACCUGUGCCAAAAACUCAGGUAUGCGGAUGAUCUGACCAGGAUAAAGCUGUUGCAGUGGUUGAAAUGAAACUCUGGUCACUGGAGUUGACUUUGAAAUGUAAAAAAGAUGGAAGCCUUUUUUAACGCCUCUCUUUUGGCUAUUGCUGCUGCAUUCUGUGAGACUUUUUUGCUGCACCAGAGAUUUAUCAAGGAAGUACUGACAUCCUCUUCAACUCUAUCAGCAUCUUUCGUCCUGUCGCUCUUGCUCCAUUUGUCUUCUUGUACCAUUCAUUCUACUUCAUGACAUAUACUUGUCUAGACAUGAUCUGAAAGAGUAACACGCCAGACACCAGACACUCUUAGAUUAAUUUGCUCUCAUAUUACAGUGGUCUGUAAAUCUCUUCUGAACUCAGUAUUUUAACUUCCGAGCGUUUUUCUCACCUGCCUGAGUGCUUGUAUUGUGCACAUAUGGUAUGCAUGCAUUGUUAAAUACAGUAGAAGACUUUUCUGAAUGGAUAAAUCACAUGACUGUAAUCUGUAAUCUGAAACCAGGCUGAAAUGAUGGAAUUGAUUAGGACUAAAAUCCCAGAGAUUCUCUGCUUAUAAUGACAUUUCGAAUCAAAUGGAUUCACUUACAGUAAUUCAAAUUGAUUCACUUGAUACAAAUUGAUUCAACUCAUUUAAAUGGAGUCUUCUGAUUCAAAUUGUUUUACUUGAUUCAAAUAAAUUCAUCCUUUUCAAA